AGUUUGCAUACUAUGUACCUCUAAGAGAGACUUUGAAAUAUUUGUUAGACUGAUUUGUGGCAGAGAUGUGUAACAGGUGAGGAAUCAGCUGAGUCUUCAUCAGAUGUACUGUGUGACAUUAGUGAUGGGUGGUGAUCCAAAUCAGUGUGGAGCAGAAUGCACUAUAGAGAUGUACAACUCUCCUGUUGAACACCUCAAGACUGAAGACUGCAAGGAAAGAAUGCUAAUCUACACCGAGCAUCUGAAGAACAACAUGCAAGUCCUCAAACACAUUGGAUCCAAAACCUGUUCCAGUUCCUAAGACACCAUCAGAGACUGUUUUGAAAGCCCUCUACUAUCAAUCUGGAUAAAAAGAAAGUUUGUCAAC